CUCGCUUGUGCGGGUGCUGGCAGCAUAUAACACUGUUCGAUUGUGCGUCAAGAAUUCCGCAUAGCAGAUUUGUAUGAAGGUCUGGUUAUUAAAUGGAUACCUUGUAACUGGAGAAGUCUGCAGGAUGUUUCAAGGAUGGGGUCCAACAACGCAGAGCGAGAGGCAAUCUGUGCAGGAGAUCUUCACCUCCUACUUCUUUGAAGAGGGUUCUGUUCCCUAGCAACACCAUAGACUACACUAUGCACAACCAAAGGCUCCUUUAAGAGCCAUCCACAUUGCAAUAAGAGUAUUCUUUAAUGUAUUUAGCUAUGUCAACUGCAGUUAUUCAAUUCCCAGUUCAAAUCUAAAUUUAUUUGUCACAUACACAUGGUUAGCAGAUGUUAAUGCGAGUGUAGUGAAAUGCUUGUGCUUCUAGUUCCGACAGUGCAGUAAUAUCUAACAAGUAAUAACAAUUCCCCUACGACUAUCUAAUACACAUCUAAAGGGGUGAUUGAGAUUAUGUAAAUAGAAGUAUAUGGAUGAGUGAUGGCCGAGCGGCAUAGGCAAGGUGCAGUAGAUGGUAUAAAAUACAGUAUAAACGUGAUACGAGUAAUGUAAGAUAUGUAAAUAUUAUUUAAAGUGGUAUUGUUUAAAGUGACUAGUGAUCCAUUUAUGAAAGUGUCCAGUGAUUAGGUCUCAAUAUAGGCAGCAGCGAUCUGAGUUAGUGAUUGCUGUUUAGCAGUCUGAUGGCCUUGAGAUUGAAAAACAUCUCUCGGUCCCAGCUUUGAUGCACCUGUACUGACCUCGCCUUCUGGAUGAUAGCGGUGUGAACAGGCAGUAGCUCCUUGAUGUUUGUUGUUGUCCUUGAUGAUCUUUUUGGCCUUCCUGUGACAUUGGGUGCUGUAGGUGUCAUGGGGGACAGAUAGUUUGCCCCCAGUGAUGCGUUGUGCAGACCGCACCACCCUCUGGAGAGCCUUGCGGUUGAGGGCGGUGCAGUUGCCGUACCAGGCUGUGAUACAGCCCGACAGGAUGUUCUCGAUUGUGCAUCUGUAAAAGUUUGUCAGGGUUUUGGGUGACAAGCCAAAUUUAUUCAGCCUCCUGAGGUUGAAGACGCGCUGUUGCGCCUUCUUCACCACACUGUCUGUGGGUGGACCACCUUCUCCUCAGCUGUCCCUUUGAUGUGGAUAGGGGGGUGCUCCCUCUGCUGUUUCCUGAAGUCCACGAUCAUCCUUUGUUUUAUUGACUUUGAGUGAGAGGUUGUUUUCAUGAUACCACACUCCGAGUGCCCUCACCUCCUCCCUGUAGGCUGCCUCUUCGUUGUUGGUGAUCAAGCCCACUAAUGUAGUGUCGUCUGCAAACUUAAUGAUUGGGUUGGAGGCGUGCAUGGCCACGCAAUCGUGGGUGAACAGGGAGUACAUGAGAGGGCUGAGCACGCAGCCUUGUGUGUGCUCCAUUUGAUUUCUAUUUCUCAGGUGAGGGUGCUGUUUAAGUAACGGUGUGAUGUCUAUACAAAAACAAAGCAGGCUAUUUUAAGCCACCCAUAUUGAAAACAAUUAG
ensembl:lncRNA